GACGAACGCUGGCGGCGUGCUUAACACAUGCAAGUCGAACGGAAAGGCCCAGCUUGCUGGGUGCUCGAGUGGCGAACGGGUGAGUAACACGUGGGUGAUCUGCCUCUAACUUCGGGAUAAGCUUGGGAAACUGGGUCUAAUACCGGAUAGGACAAUCGUUUAGUGUCGGUUGUGGAAAGUUUUUUCGGUUAGGGAUGAGCCCGCGGCCUAUCAGCUUGUUGGUGGGGUAAUGGCCUGCCAAGGCGUCGACGGGUAGCCGGCCUGAGAGGGUGGACGGCCACAUUGGGACUGAGAUACGGCCCAGACUCCUACGGGAGGCAGCAGUGGGGAAUAUUGCACAAUGGGCGCAAGCCUGAUGCAGCGACGCCGCGUGGGGGAUGACGGCCUUCGGGCUGUAAACCUCUUUCGACAGGGACGAAGCUUUGGUGACGGUACCUGUAUAAGAAGCACCGGCUAACUACGUG
rnacentral:rRNA from 1 species